AGCAGCCGCGGUAAUUCCAGCUCCAAUAGCGUAUAUUAAAGUUGCUGCAGUUAAAAGCUCGUAGUUGAAUUUCGGGAUCAAUAUGUUGGUCGUGCCUCGGUACGUACUAGCUUAUUGGUUUCUCCCUUCUGACGAACCAUGAUGUCAUUUAUUUGGUGUUAUGGGAAAUCAGGACUGUUACUUUGAAAAAUUAGAGUGUUUAAAGCAGGCUCACGCUUGAAUACAUUAGCAUGGAAUAAUGAAAUAGGACGUUUGAUUCUAUUUUGUUGGUUUCUAGGAUCGACGUAAUGAUUAAUAGGGAUAGUUGGGGGCAUUAGUAUUCAAUUGUCAGAGGUGAAAUUCUUGGAUUUAUUGAAGACUAACUACUGCGAAAGCAUUUGCCAAGGAUGUUUUCAUUAAUCAAGAACGAAAGUUAGGGAUCGAAGACGAUCAGAUACCGUCGUAGUCUUAACCAUAAACUAUGCCGACUAGGGAUCGGAUGAUGUUAAUUUUUUAAUGUACUCAUUCGGCGUCCG
rnacentral:misc_RNA from 1 species